CGGGGAGUGGCGCAGCCUGGUAGCGCACCUGUUUUGGGUACAGGGGGUCGCAAGUUCGAAUCUUGUCUCCCCGACCA
rnacentral:tRNA from 10 species